ACAAAAAAUACUUAUUUACAAACAAAAAGAAAGAAGGUUAGCAUUGCAAUGCAAAUUCAUCUGUGGCCUGUGGGACUAAAUCCUAGUUUAACCAAAAGACAAGAAAAAUUUGUUAAUAUGCAAGUAUAUUUAGUCAUAAAUGUACAAGCACAUAUCUGUGUAAAUAUAGAUAAAGAAAAUGCUUAAUAUCGCAUUAUUAUGUUUAUUCACCAACUAGUUCCACAUUCACACUUUGUCAAAUCAUCCAUUUCCACAAGUCAAUAUUGAAUAGUUUUCUACCCUUUGCUUUUCCAAUUAACUGAUAAUUGAUAGGUACUUAGCAAACAUCAUAGUCAUAUCUUGAGUUUAGCUGGAAUGAUUUAAAUGGCCUCCAAUCUAUCACCGACACCAUGCAUGUAAAAUACCGUAACACAAUAAUAAUAAUAAUAAUAAUAAUAAUAAUAAUAAUAAGGUUUAAUGGACGAAUAACUUUAACGAAAUUUUUAGAAAUUUUUAGGAAUUUUCUGGGAAUUUUUUGAAGCUUGUAUGACGUAUUUUACGGGGAUGAGUUUAUUGGGCUUGGAGGAAGCCUAUUUGGAGUACCCACUUAAGUGGGAGUUGAUUAAGGAAUAAACUUAAGGUUUAAUUAAUUAAACCCUAAGUAUAAAUGUGAACUACUGUGCCCUAAUCUCCGCCGAAACCUUUUCUUCCGAUCUCCUCCUCCCCUCUCCUCUUCACACUGCCACCGCCGCAUACUCCCGAUUCCUCUCUUCACCGUGCCCUAGCCACUUCUCUUCCUCUUCUCCUGAAUCCCUCUCCUUUUCCUCUUCACCGCCGACCCUCCUCUCCCAUCUCCCGAUCUCGCUGCACCGCCCGAUCGUGGGUCGUCGCCGCCCGAUCCGUCGACGCCUUCCCUCUCAUGAGCAUCCAUCAUAAUUCCGACGUUAGAUGGCACGCACAGCCUGAGCCUUAUUCCGAUCCACUGUCGCUCUCUCCCUCUCGUCUCCGAUUGUCAAAGCUGGUCGCCAUCUUCCCAUUCCUGGCUGUGGACACCAAGCACUCGUCGUGAGCCAAGCAUCCGACCCUAACGUGGUUGCCGCGUCGGCUCAGAUCCACCGUCUCCGUGCCCUAGCUCCCGAUCCACUCACGGUGUCGAGCCUAACCAGGCAGCGUCGUCAUUCUCCUCUGCCCGGUUCACCACCACAGCAAUAUUUGGGUUUCCGUUAGAGAGGAAGCUACAGAUCUAGAUUGAGUUGGUCAGAAGGUCUGCCGACAGUCCAGGAAACAGAACAAAGACCAUGGUCACCAUUGCGGCAGUAGACUCUGAUUAUCGCUGAUUAUCUCCAGUUAUGAGCCACCAGCAAACCUCAUUGGAUUGUGGACUUUAAUUUGAGACAAGGGUCUCGACGUGGAAUUGUUAGCACAAUCGACAAAUAAAGGCAGGUUGAAGCCGUCAAGAGGUUCCAGUUGCUAGUCCCCACUCUGUGUCGAUAUGGUUUUCUAUUUCCGAACUUUGGUUCCUUGUUAUGUGAACUAGACUUGUGAUGUGAAGUUCUUGCACUCGUGUAUUCUAUAUCGAGAUUUUGGUA